rnacentral:tRNA from 1 species
UGGAGGAGUGUCCGAGUGGUUAAAGGAGACGGACUGUAAAUCCGUUCGCUUAGCGUACGCUGGUUCGAAUCCAGCCUCCUCCACCAG